GUAGGUGGCAAGCGUUGUCCGGAAUUAUUGGGCGUAAAGCGCGCGCAGGCGGUUCUUUAAGUCUGAUGUGAAAGCCCACGGCUCAACCGUGGAGGGUCAUUGGAAACUGGAGAACUUGAGUACAGAAGAGGAAAGCGGAAUUCCACGUGUAGCGGUGAAAUGCGUAGAGAUGUGGAGGAACACCAGUGGCGAAGGCGGCUUUCUGGUCUGUAACUGACGCUGAGGCGCGAAAGCGUGGGGAGCAAACAGGGAUUAGAUACACUGGUAGUCCACGCCGUAAACGAUGAGUGCUAAGUGUUAGGGGGGUUUUCCGCCCCCCUUAGUGCUGCAGCUAACGCAUUAAGCACUCCGCCUGGGAGUACGGCCGCAAGGCUG
rnacentral:rRNA from 1 species